rnacentral:rRNA from 1 species
AGAACGAACGCUGGCGGCAGGCUUAACACAUGCAAGUCGAGCGCCCCGCAAGGGGAGCGGCAGACGGGUGAGUAACACGUGGGAACAUACCCUCCGGUUCGGAAUAGCUCAGGGAAACUUGGAUUAAUACCGGAUACGGCCUAGCGGCGAAAGAUUGAUCGCCGGAGGAUUGGCCCGCGUCUGAUUAGCUAGUUGGUGGGGUAAUGGCCCACCAAGGCGACGAUCAGUAGCUGGUCUGAGAGGAUGAUCAGCCACAUUGGGACUGAGACACGGCCCAAACUCCUACGGGAGGCAGCAGUGGGGAAUAUGGACAAUGGCGCAAGCCUGAUCCAGCCAUGCCGCGUGAGUGAUGACGGCCUUAGGGUUGUAAAGCUCUUUCGCUAGGGACGAUAAUGACGGUACCUAGACAAGAAGCCCGGCUAACUUCGUGCCAGCAGCCGC